rnacentral:misc_RNA from 1 species
GCAAAAGAAAAAAGUGCAAAUCGGACUUGGUCCAAAUUUCAAGCUGUAUAAGCGCCGCCGCCACGGGAACCACCACUACGGCCGCCGCCACGACGGCCAUAGUCAUCGUCAUCCUCAUCAGAAUCAUCAUAGCUUCCAUACACAUCAUCAAAUCCCUUCGAUUCAUCAUCAUCAGAAUCGUCAAAAUCAUCUUCAUCAUCAGAAUCGUCUUCGACAUCUUCUUCCAGAUUAGGACGUCUCAUGCUACUGGUCGAUCGGCUUCCACGAAGCUCCAUCAAAGACAAAUCAAAAACAGGCAAACCGGAGCCGAUACCAAUCGGGAAGUUCCAAUUCAGAAGAAAUUCAUCCGCAUUUGACACACUCAACUUUUUACUAUCAGAGAAAUGCCCAGUCAGAAUCGACUUUGGUUGAAAUUGAGGGGAAAUGAUAGAUGAGCCUACAGAG